rnacentral:rRNA from 1 species
UCUACGGGUGGCUGCAGUGGGGAAUAUUGGACAAUGGGCGAAAGCCUGAUCCAGCCAUGCCGCGUGUGUGAAGAAGGCCUUCGGGUUGUAAAGCACUUUCAGUGGGGAAGAAAGCCUUGGGGCUAAUACCCUCGAGGAAGGACUCACCCACAGAAGAAGCACCGGCUAACUCCGUGCCAGCAGCCGCGGUAAUACGGAGGGUGCGAGCGUUAAUCGGAAUUACUGGGCGUAAAGCGCGCGUAGGCGGUCUGAUAAGCCGGUUGUGAAAGCCCCGGGCUCAACCUGGGAACGGCAUCCGGAACUGUCAGGCUAGAGUGCAGGAGAGGAAGGUAGAAUUCCCGGUGUAGCGGUGAAAUGCGUAGAGAUCGGGAGGAAUACCAGUGGCGAAGGCGGCCUUCUGGACUGACACUGACGCUGAGGUGCGAAAGCGUGGGUAGCAAACAGGAUUAGAUACCCCGGUAGUC